rnacentral:misc_RNA from 1 species
GUGGAAACUGAGGUUGAGGUAAAGUCCUCUGCUGACAAAUUCUUCGAAGCCAUCGCCGACUCCACUGCCCUUUUCCCGAAGCUCUUUCCCGAGCAGUACAAGAGCAUCGAGAUUGUCGAAGGGGACGGGAAGACUGUCGGCUCUGUUCGCCUCGUCACAUAUGCUGAAGGAAUGCCACUGGUGAAGAUCUCCAAGGAAAAGAUUGAGAUCGCUGACAAAGAUAACAAGACGGUGGCAUACAGUGUGAUCGAUGGGGAGAUCCUAGACUACUUCAAGCCCUUCAAGGCGACGGUGACGGUGGUACCGAAGGGUGAUGGAGCGUUGGUGAAGUGGAGCCUUGAGUAUGACAAGGUGAACGAUGAGGUGCCAGACCCGGACGUUGUUCAGGAGACAGCUGCGCAGACGUUCAGUGAUCUGGAUGCCUAUCUGCUCAAGAACUAAAAAUGGAGACAUGAUGCAGUGUUACCUCCAAUGAGUAUUCGAUAUAUGUUUUAAUAAGGGAAUGGAGGGAUGUUGUUGACCAAUGUUCCUCUCUACCCUCGUUAUGUUCUUGUUCCCAUUGUUGUUUUUACGAAUUAUUCUAAAGGUGUUUAUUAAAACAAGCUACCCUGCUUUUAAG